UACGGAGGGUGCGAGCGUUGUCCGGAAUCACUGGGCGUAAAGGGCGCGUAGGUGGCUUCUCAAGCGCGCGGUGAAAGCCCGGGGCUCAACCCCGGGUCGGCCGUGCGGACUGGGAGGCUCGAGCACUGUAGGGGCGGGUGGAAUUCCGGGAGUAGCGGUGGAAUGCGUAGAGAUCCGGAAGAACACCGGUGGCGAAGGCGGCCCGCUGGGCAGGAAGGCUCGCAAGAGCCGGCUGACACUGAGGCGCGACAGCGUGGGGAGCAAACAGG
rnacentral:rRNA from 1 species